GGCGUGCCUAAUACAUGCAAGUCGAGCGAACAGAUGAGAAGCUUGCUUCUCUGAUGUUAGCGGCGGACGGGUGAGUAACACGUGGGUAACCUACCUAUAAGACUGGGAUAACUCCGGGAAACCGGGGCUAAUACCGGAUAAUAUUUUGAACCGCAUGGUUCAAUAGUGAAAGACGGUUUCGGCUGUCACUUAUAGAUGGACCCGCGCCGUAUUAGCUAGUUGGUAAGGUAACGGCUUACCAAGGCGACGAUACGUAGCCGACCUGAGAGGGUGAUCGGCCACACUGGAACUGAGACACGGUCCAGACUCCUACGGGAGGCAGCAGUAGGGAAUCUUCCGCAAUGGGCGAAAGCCUGACGGAGCAACGCCGCGUGAGUGAUGAAGGUCUUCGGAUCGUAAAACUCUGUUGUUAGGGAAGAACAAAUUUGUUAGUAACUGAACAAGUCUUGACGGUACCUAACCAGAAAGCCACGGCUAACUACGUGCCAGCAGCCGCGGUAAUACGUAGGUGGCAAGCGUUAUCCGGAAUUAUUGGGCGUAAAGCGCGCGUAGGCGGUUUCUUAAGUCUGAUGUGAAAGCCCACGGCUCAACCGUGGAGGGUCAUUGGAAACUGGGAAACUUGAGUGCAGAAGAGGAGAGUGGAAUUCCAUGUGUAGCGGUGAAAUGCGCAGAGAUAUGGAGGAACACCAGUGGCGAAGGCGGCUCUCUGGUCUGUAACUGACGCUGAUGUGCGAAAGCGUGGGGAUCAAACAGGAUUAGAUACCCUGGUAGUCCACGCCGUAAACGAUGAGUGCUAAGUGUUAGGGGGUUUCCGCCCCUUAGUGCUGCAGCUAACGCAUUAAGCACUCCGCCUGGGGAGUACGACCGCAAGGUUGAAACUCAAAUGAAUUGA
rnacentral:rRNA from 1 species